GCCUGGAUAGCCAGUUGGUUACAGUAUGGUGCUGAUAACGUCAAGGUUGUGGGUUCGAUCCCCAUAUGGUA